rnacentral:rRNA from 1 species
UUUAAGCUUCCUACGGGAGGCUGCAGUGGGGAAUCUUGCGCAAUGGGCGAAAGCCUGACGCAGCCAUGCCGCGUGAAUGAUGAAGGUCUUAGGAUUGUAAAAUUCUUUCACCGGGGACGAUAAUGACGGUACCCGGAGAAGAAGCCCCGGCUAACUUCGUGCCAGCAGCCGCGGUAAUACGAAGGGGGCUAGCGUUGCUCGGAAUUACUGGGCGUAAAGGGAGCGUAGGCGGACAUUUAAGUCAGGGGUGAAAUCCCGGGGCUCAACCUCGGAAUUGCCUUUGAUACUGGGUGUCUUGAGUAUGAGAGAGGUGUGUGGAACUCCGAGUGUAGAGGUGAAAUUCGUAGAUAUUCGGAAGAACACCAGUGGCGAAGGCGACACACUGGCUCAUUACUGACGCUGAGGCUCAAGUAACGUGGGGAGCAAACAGGAUUAGAUACCCUUGAGUCGAAUUCUU